rnacentral:ncRNA from 1 species
GGUCGCCCGCCGCAUGAGUGUCAAGGCCUCAUGCCUGUGCGAAUUUUGAAUCUGGUUGCACCGCUGCCCCACAAGGGCACCGCCAAGCGCACCACAGAUACCACCGCCCCAGGCGCGCAGGUCUGGCGCAGUUUCUCCAGUGAUCGGCAGCAGCCUUCGCCGGGGCGACGUAGAUAGUGCAAUCCUCAG